UACGGGGGGGGCAAGCGUUAAUCGGAAUUACUGGGCGUAAAGCGUGCGUAGACGGUUAUGUAAGUCAGAUGUGAAAGCCCAGGGCUCAACCUUGGAAUUGCAUUUGAGACUGCAUAGCUAGGGUGCGGAAGAGGGAAGCGGAAUUUCCGGUGUAGCGGUGAAAUGCGUAGAUAUCGGAAGGAACACCAGUGGCGAAAGCGGCUUCCUGGUCCAGCACCGACGUUCAGGCACGAAAGCGUGGGGAGCAAACAGG
rnacentral:rRNA from 1 species